AUUGAACGCUGGCGGCAGGCCUAACACAUGCAAGUCGAGCGAGCGGCGGACGGGUGAGUAAUGUAUGGGGACUGCCCGAUAGAGGGGGAAAACUACUGGAAACGGGGGCUAAUACCGCAAACUAGCGGAUAACCCAUAUGGGAUUAGCUAGUAGGUGGGGGAAAGGCUCACCUAGGCGACGUUCUCUAGCUGGUCUGAGAGGAUGAUCAUCCACACUGGGACGGAGACACGGCCCAGACUCCUACGGAGGCAGCAGUGGGGAAUAUUGCACAAUGGGCGCAAGCCUGAUGCAGCCAUGCCGCGUGUAUGAAGAAGGCCUUAGGGUGUUAAAGUACUUUCAUCGGGGAGGCGUUACCCGCAGAAGAAGCACCGGCUAACUCCGUGCCAGCCGCCGCGGUAAUAC
rnacentral:rRNA from 1 species